rnacentral:lncRNA from 1 species
AUUCCUCUGAGUUUCCUUCACAAGGAGUUCCAUCUGUCUUAACGAGAAUUCAGUUGGAAGGCCCUUGCCCAGCUUAAGGUCUACAAGAUGUUCAGCAGUAUUCUUACCAUGGAGAUGAAAGGAAUGCUCUUCUAUGCCCUGUUGUAUGGAUGUGUGAUUUCAUCAGCAUAGAGAAUCUCCUCUACUGAUGUUGAUUCCAACUCAA